UCAAAUCCUGUCCUGAAGUCAAGCCUCUGAACAGCUCAACUCAUGCUUCAUACCCUCAUUCAAUCGCUGCUGUGGUCCCUCCCAACACAGUGUGAAUGAUUGAGAAUCAGAGCGAUCUCCAUGCUGUGAGACCCCACCCCAUGCUCCUCCCUCCUCUCAGGGGAUGGCCAAGGUCCAGGAUGGACACACAAACACAUGUGACAGCCCUGCGAUGUUAGAAGAGAGCCAGGAUGGUAUGGACAGUGGUAGCCUGACUCCUGGCCCAGCUUCAGCUCGACAGGUCUGCAUUCAGCGCCACCCCAGCCAAGGCUUCGGAUUCAUAGCAGGCAGCCAGAGACCAGUCAUCGUGCGCUCUGUCUCUGCAGACGGCCCGUCCAUCGGCAAGCUUCUCCCUGGAGACCAGAUCCUGGCCAUCAAUGAGGAGGUGGUGAGCGAGGCUUCCCGGGAGAGAGUCAUAGACCUUGUAAG